UACGUAGGUGGCAAGCGUUGUCCGGAAUUAUUGGGCGUAAAGCGCGCGCAGGUGGUUUCUUAAGUCUGAUGUGAAAGCCCACGGCUCAACCGUGGAGGGUCAUUGGAAACUGGGGAACUUGAGUGCAGGAGAGAAGAGUGGAAUUCCACGUGUAGCGGUGAAAUGCGUAGAGAUGUGGAGGAACACCAGUGGCGAAGGCGACUCUUUGGCCUGUAACUGACACUGAGGCGCGAAAGCUAGGGGAGCAAACAGG
rnacentral:rRNA from 1 species